rnacentral:misc_RNA from 1 species
GAAAUGCGAUAAUUAAUGUGAAUUGCAGAAUUCGGUGAAUCAUCGAGUCUUUGAACGCACAUUGCGCCCCCUGGUAUUCCGGGGGGCAUGCCUGUCCGAGCGUCAUUGCUGCCCUCAAGCACGGCUGGUGUGUUGGGCUUCCGUCCCUGGCAACGGGGACGGGCCCAAAAGGCAGUGGCGGCACCAUGUCUGGUCCUCGAGCGUAUGGGGCUUUGUCACCCGCUCCCGUAGGUCCAGCUGGCAGCUAGCCUCGCAACCAAUCUUUUUAACCAGGUUGACCUCGGAUCAGGUAGGGAUACCCGCUGAACUUAAGC